GGGAGUGGAUUAGCAUGCUAGACAGAGGGCAGUUCGGCUGCCCUGCGAAAAGCUCAGUGACACGUAGUCAAUCUACCCUUAGGAUUGAGAUAACCCGGGAAACUGGGGAUAAUCUCAAAUAUGCGGGGAUUCUGGAAUGUUCCUCGCUGAAAUGUUUUGCGCCUAAGGAUGAGACUGCGGCCUAUUAGGUAGUUGGUGAGGUAAAGGCUCACCAAGCCACAGAUGGGUACGGGCCCUGAGAGGGGGAGCCCGGAGAUGGGGACUGAGACAAGGCCCCAGGCCCUACGGGGCGCAGCAGGUGCGGAAAUUCUGCAAUGCGUGCAAGCGCGACAGAGUGACUCCCAGUGCCGAUGGUCUACCGACCGUCGGCUUUUCUGGAACGUAAAAAGUUUCAGGUAAUAAGGGCCGGGUAAGACUGGUGCCAGCCGCCGCGGUAACACCAGCGGCUCGAGUGGUAACCGAUUUUAUUGGGCUUAAAGUGUCCGUAGCCGGGUUGUCAAGUCCUUUGUGAAAUCCAGCGGCUUACCCGCUCGGCUUGCAACGGAAACUGAUGACCCUGGGAUCGGUAGGCGCUGAGGGUACUCCAGGGGUACCGGUGAAAUGGUAUUACCCCUGGGGGACCCCCAGUGGCGA
rnacentral:rRNA from 1 species